CACAAGGGGUGAAGCCUGCGGUUCAAUUGGAGUCAACGCCAGGAAACUUACCAGGAGAGACAGCAGGUUGAGGGUCAGUCUGAAGAACUUACCUGACGAGCUGAGAGGAGGUGCAUGGCCGUCGCCAGCUCGUGCCGUGAGGCGUCCUGUUAAGUCAGGCAACGAGCGAGACCCCUAUCGGUAAUUGCUAACUGCCCAGAGAUGGGUAGAGGCUAGUUACAGAGACUGCCGUUGAUAAAACGGAGGAAGGAAGGGGCCACGGCAGGUCAGUAUGCCCCGAAACUCCUGGGCCACACGCGGGCUGCAAUGGUAGGGACAAUAGGUUCCGACCUCGAAAGAGGAAGGCAAUCCCGAAACCCUACCCCAGUUGUGAUCGAGGAUUGAAACCCGUCCUCGUGAAUAUGGAAUCCCUAGUAACCGCGUGUCAUCNCCNCGCGGUGAAUACGUCCCUGCUCC
rnacentral:rRNA from 1 species